rnacentral:lncRNA from 1 species
CAAACUUAAAAACAAUUCAAGCAAAAUGAGUUCGUCUUCAUUUGGCUCCAUCUUCAUUUGUCUCUCACAACUACAGGAUCAUCUUCAUUUGUUUCCAUCUUCAUGUCACCUUUUUCAUUCUUCAUGAGUUCGUCAAACUCAACCAUCCGGUCCAUAAAUGUAUUCUCCCAAGUCUCAGCCUCUGGCGCCCUAUGAUUUUUCCAUUCCUUACAAGUUGGAGGCAGUGGACACCCAACCUUCAAUUUAAC